AAAAAAAGCAAUCAUUUUGGGAGAUUGCUAUGCACAUUGUUUCUUUUAUAUGAGAUGUGUCUCUCUCUUAUUCCAUUACAGAUUUUUCCACACCCACCCCUCCUUCCCUCUGUAUCAGAGUUCCGCGUCCAUCCUCCUCCUAUUUGUGUUUGUAUAUCUUGGAGAAUCGGUGAAAUAUUUUCAGUUGUGUACAUGAAUGGUAGAUAUCCUUGCUCAGGAAAAGGGGCAGAGCCAUUUUCCAAGUACAAAUAUUGAGCCAAAUGGAGCUUUGAGAGCUGCUAUCAAAGGACCAUAUCUGGUUUUAAAAACCAUUUAUGAUUUGUUUGGACCGGUAGAAAUUUCCAAAGGAGCAGUUUAAUG
rnacentral:misc_RNA from 1 species